GACGAACCGUGCGAACGUUGUUCGGAAUCACUGGGCUUAAAGGGCGCGUAGGCGGUUGGUCAAGUCAGGGGUGAAAUCUUUCGGCUCAACCGGAAAACUGCCUUUGAUACUGACUGGCUGGAGGGAGAUAGGGGUUGCGGGAACGUACCAGUGGAGCGGUGAAAUGCGUUGAUAUUGGUAGGAACGCCGGUGGCGAAAGCGCGCAACUGGAUCUCUUCUGACGCUGAGGCGCGAAAGCUAGGGGAGCAAACGGGG
rnacentral:rRNA from 1 species